rnacentral:rRNA from 1 species
GGGUGCGAUCAUACCAGCACUAAUGCACCGGAUCCCUUCAGAACUCCGCAGAACCGUGCUGGGGCGAGAGUAGUACUAGGAUGGGUGACCUCCUGGGAAGUCCUCGUGUUGCACCCC